rnacentral:rRNA from 1 species
UACGUAGGGUGCGAGCGUUGUCCGGAAUUACUGGGCGUAAAGAGCUCGUAGGUGGUUUGUCGCGUUUGUCCGUGAAAACUCACAGCUCAACUGUGGGCGUGCGGGCGAUACGGGCAGACUGGAGUACUGCAGGGGAGACUGGAAUUCCUGGUGUAGCGGUGGAAUGCGCAGAUAUCAGGAGGAACACCGGUGGCGAAGGCGGGGUCUCUGGGCAGUAAACUGACGCUGGAGGAGCGAAAAGCGUGGGGGAGCGAACAGG